rnacentral:misc_RNA from 1 species
UAUUAUUUUUUCUUUAAUUGUUAAUGGGUUGCUUAGCGAUAUAUUACUGUAUCCGAACUGGUGUGUCCCUAUGGUGGUGUUCGCCAUAUGAAUUGGAACUAUUAGUGAACUGCCGAGUCGCUGAUCUGCCCGGACCGAGCCAGCUCACGUGUUGCAACGGAGAUCGGUAAGUCGCUAGUGACCCCAGUUUAAUAGCGAACAUAAAUUUUUGGUCCUUCGAACCAGGAUUA